GAAAUGCGAUACUUGGUGUGAAUUGCAGACUUUAGUGAAUCAUCGAAUCUUUGAACGCACAUUGCGCCUUUUGGAAUUCCAUUAGGCAUGCCUGCUCGAGCGUCAUAUACUCCCUCAAGCAUUUGCUUGGUGUUGGGCGACUGUCCUCUGCAUAGCAAGGACUCGCCUUAAAGGUAUUGGCAGUUAGCUUGCCAGCUUCUUACGCAGCACUUGCGUUGUUUGAGGCUAAGUAGGUUAACGUUCCAGCAAGACACCUCUUUGAAAGACCUCGAAUUAGGUAGGGAUACCCGCUGAACUUAA
rnacentral:misc_RNA from 1 species